GGAGAGCUAACGUGCUACAUUAGAGGUGGGGAAUAAAUAUUCCAAUUCCAGCCCAAAGUGUCUUUAUUUUGACUCAAAUGUGAGAUAUGCCGUUGCCAUGGUGACAUGGUGCAGGCUUCAGCCCUCUCCCCAGCUGUUGAGAGGUUUUGUCUGUGUGUGUGUGUGUGUGCGUGUGUGUUUGUGCAAGCCCAAGCGCGCACAUUGAAGCCCCGCUCUCGUGCUGUGUUCCCCUUUCAGCCGCCAGAAUAGAGUCUCAACUAAUCCGUGAAAGUUGCGGUGCUCUGAACCGCCAGCCAAGCCUUUUCCCACUGAAUUGAGGGCCGGGGGUCUGCACUGGGCUUUACACUUGAUUGGUCUUCGCUGUGGCAAGACUCCCCUCCCUGCUGGGUGUGGGCCCGUCCCCCUCGCUGUGCUGCUCGGGUCUAGGCUAAUCGGCUUCUCCCCGCCGUAAUUACCCACACCCGGCCUGGGCAUGCUGAAACCACCAGUAGUCUUUCUGUCUCUUUCUUCUUCCCAGUCCCUCACCAGUAUUGGCACAUUAGACCACAGACUGGCGUCAGUGCCAAUGCCGGCUCAAGUCUGUGGCACCGGGUGCUGGGCAAGGGGACAGUAAGCUAGCGAGAAGGUGGCCUCACAACUGUCCUCCUCUACAUGCACAAUCCGAGGAUGAUGGGUUUAUUUGGCACAGCUAAUCAGGUAAUAGUUUGUCUUACAGAAACGAGUGAAAGCGUCUCGGUUGGUAUGGUCCACAGGAAUAGAUCGGAGGUGUCUGGUUUCAUAGCAUCUAUCAAUUCGGAAGGCAUUCACAGGCCGCAAUCCCAGUGUAGCACACUUUUGGCACAACAGUAGUAAAAAACGCAAACACCGUGACUGAGAAUAUUCUUUGUGCCCCAGAUUUACCGCAAGAUGAAACAGGUCCUCAGAGAAAGUCUUCAUUUCCAUUCAGCUGGAAAAUAAGUGAGCCAUAUCAAUAUUGAGGUGGCCCUCUUAAGAUGCACCGUCACAUUUCCAGAGCUCUGUAAGGGCAAAGGAGAAGACAGUUCACAAAGAUUACAGAGCAGUGCAGAGGAUCUAGAGCGUUUUGUGGGGAGCGAGGGAACCAAGAAGACAAGGGGUGUUUAUUGGACCCCCAUUUGCUGCGAACAUCUUAUUAUGGAGAUUUUUUGUCCCUCCAAAUCAGUCGGCAGUCACUCUCACAAAUCCUAAGACCCUUGCUCAGUCAGAGCAGAUCAAAAGAUAACUCACAUUUCAAAAUACGGAAGGGGGGGAAAAAGAGCAAGAAGAAAGGACAACAGAGAAAAGAAGAGAGCCAGAAGGGGGCAUACUGCUCUCUCUUUACAUAGGCGAAUAAGGCGUUUGAAGCAUGCCAUGUGUGCCUCCUUCAUUCUGUCCUAUUGCACAACCCAAAUUUUUCUAAAAAAAAAAAAAAAGCAGCCAUUGUUGUUUUUAGUUUUAUUUCUCAGGGCAAAUUAAAUUUUCAACUUCACAUCAUAAACGAACCCAGAAAAAAAAAAAUCAGUACUUAAUGGUCCAUUCAUUGCAGGGGUAAAAUGAAAGGCCUGGAAUCUGGCUUCUAGGAAGUAUCGAGACCCCCUUGAAGCUGGAAUGAAAAGUGUAAGUUUAGCCUCUCAGCUGUGUGUCUCAAUCCAUAAUCCUGCCCCAAAACCCCAGCGGAGAGCAGCCUGACACUCCCAUGGCGUUCCUGACCAGUGAAGGCCUGGCCUGUGCAGAUUUAUGGAGUACAGCUCCGUGCCUUACACUCCUAGUUGGGCUGAGACUUUGAGUCAGACUGCUAGAAGUUGCACAAGAUUAAGAAGAAAAUAGAUCUGGUCCAGCAAGCUCCAAGCUACACAUCAUAAACCGUCAUUAUGCAGGAGGUGUAUAAAGAACAUGAAUAAGGCCGGAGUCGCCGCACAAACAUAGAUGAAGCGCAUCACCUUUCGCCAGCAUGGCACAGGUAAGCCUGGCCCCGACCGAGCUGCUGGACCAGGGGUCAGGCUUGUGGCCCAGCAUGCAACUGCUCUCGGUCACAUCGGGUCCUCACACCCCAGAGAUGAGCUUGCAGACGGACGUCGUCUGAGACCUUUGAUGUGCGGCUACGAAAGUUUCUGUUACUGUGCUUUUAAUUAGGUCCAGCAGCUGCCUCUUCCUGGUCCGAAACUCCACUAUCUGCCUAAUAUCUUGCAUGUGGCCACCACAAACACAACAAAAUCAGCCACCACUCUCAGGUGCGGGAUGUUCAGGGAGGAGCCGCCGCAUCAUGCUUCCCUCUGUUUGGCACAAACAAGUCUGAUGCAGAGCUAACACAGCCCAGUUGCAGUGAGACAUGGUUAAGAUUCACAGUUCUAUCACUACGACCAGCAUGUUCCCAGCUUACAGCCAAGCGGGUGUGAAAUUAUGCAAAUAUAUGCUUCCCGUCUAUCAUCUUUUGGCAAAUUUGAUGGCCCAAUUUCUUAAACAUUAUCCUUUAAUGAUUUAUUAGCAGGUUUGAGUGUGGUCAAAUGUUGAGGCAAACUUUCACAAUGGCACGAGAUGUGCUUCUCUGGUUUUCCUGAAGGAAAGAUUUGGUUAAGUUAAGCUCAGUCUACGAAAAUAAAAAAUAAAAAUUGUUACAAGUUAUGCACUCACAGUACAACUAAAGUGAAUAGGGCUAAUUUGUAAACAUGAAAAUAUGCAUUGCUUUAACAGACAUCAACAAUAUGCAUGAUAAUUUAAAAACACUUAUACACUAAAACACUAAAUUAUAUCCUAUUUUACAACUUUAUUCCCACAACAAAAUAAAACCAUAAAACAACUUUUAAAAAGUAUGAUUUGAAUAGUUUUACAGCUAAAAUAAUAAACAAGUUUUAACUGAACUAUAAUUUUAAGUGCUUUUAUAGAACUAUAAGCUUUCCAUUUGUGCUUUUAAAUGCUUCAAAAAUUGGCCCAAUCGCUUCCAUUGUAAGUGCUUUGCCACAAACUCCAUUUUUGCUUUUUUAAAAGUCCUAAUUAUUUUUCAUUUUAAUCAGCAUUGCCAGACAAAUGCAGUCACCUGAGAUUCUCAAGCAAAAUCGUUGUGCUUGUAGCUUAAAAUUCAUCUAACAUCCAUCUGUCUUUGUCACUCCCAAGUUACUAGACUGCUGGACUGAACUUGACUAAAGAUGAAAUAUGGGAGACUGGUUAGGCAUACUAAUACCCUGGAUUCAUUAAAUUAAUAGGGGUCUUAUUCCCCUUACCAUGGGUUCACAGAUGCCCUUUGAGUUUGCCGGGGCUAGAGGGUGCGCAGCACUUUGAAAGCCCUUACCGGCAUAUCGAGCGCAUUUUAAUACAGUCCUUUUGAGGCUCCUGGUAGGAUGCAGAGUAACUCCUCGCCUUUAAGUUCCCGCAACUCUCCAUGUGAUCUCGUCAGAUAGCCACGGCUGUGUCAGAUCAGGCCCAGGCUGCACAUACACUAGGGGGAUGGGGAGGGCCAUGCAAGGCAAAUUAGACCAGCGGUGUUCGUUUCUAUGUAGAGGCCAUUCUUUCCCAAACACGUGAGUCCUUGAGAAGCAAGCGCUCAGGAGUGCUUUGAUGUGGAAAGGUGCCCAGUUUAAGGCUCUGAAACAGGAGGCUUUGGGAGAGAUUCAGUAGGAUUCCCUUCGGUGAUCAGCAGGGGAGGCUGCCCUCUCGUUGGUCAACUGUGUACACUGUACAGAUUUAAUUACACCAAGAAUGAAGUGCGUGGUCCAAAGAAAUCCUUGAUGCUGCCCAUUAUGACUGUCAUAGCAUAUUCCAAACCAUCAAGCCACAAUAAGAGCCGAGCUUGAUGAUCACAGCCCGAAAAAUCAAAGAGGCUUCAGAAAACAACAACAAAAGGAAAUGCUAUGAAUGUUCUGGGAAAACAAUAUUGUUUUCCACUGCAGUUGCGCCUUUGCUAAUCUUUCAAAUUUUAAAAUGCACAGGAUCGGCACAAGGACAAAUAGCAAAGUGUUUCAAUGACAGCACAACACGUAUUCUACUUGUUUCGGUCUAUGAGCUUCAGAAAUAGGUUUAAUUAACAGACACAAAAUAUAACGGCAUGCCAGUAUCACUCUUAACACAACAAUAAUACUUUUUUAAAAGACUGAUUCAUAGAAACAUGAGGAUUUUACAUCACUUGGUUCUAUGUUACUGUGUGCAAUGGCUGGAUUCUCCAACAUAAUCCAGUCAAGGUAAAUUAAAUAAAACAACCAGUAGUUGUUAACAAGGUUGUCGCUGUCACUGAAAAUGGCAUCUUGUAUUUGUUUACAGGCCAGCUAAGGGAUUUUGAAGCAAUGUUGUUUGCAGCUGCAAAGAUUGUGGCUUGGUUAGAAACCAGGCACACACCCCACCCCGACCACAGCGUUUUGAAAAGGGCUUUUUCCCUUUGGUCUUUGCACAGUGGUGUGGCAACUAUGGCUCACAGGUGGGAGCCUGCCUCUACCAAAUAAGCUUCCUCACUAAGGACGGGAUUUGGCGCUGUUAUUUUUCUAUUAGGGCGGAAUAAUGUUAAGCCUUCAGAGGCCAUCUUUCUGUUGCUAUGGCAGCCCAUGUUUCAUGCAGGUUUGAGACCCUGAGUGACUAGAGUGCAAAGCCAAAUACCACAGAGCCUGUGUGGAUCAGAAAUAUGGCCUUACAAUUAUGGAAAACAGCUCGAAUCUGACUGGACCUGUCUAAGACUGAGUGACAAGUUUAUUGAGAUCUCUUUUUUUUUUUUCAAUUCAUCAUGUCAGUAACGAAUUCAAAUAUCACUUGUCACAUCUCCAAGUGCACGUCUCCACGCCCAUCUGUUGGUUUAUACACCAGUUGGAAUUGAAAUUUCUCUCUCUUUGGCCAAAAUGUUAACAGUCUUUUUGAGAACAACACAGCCGCUAAUUUACAGAUAUUUACAGAUGAGGCGCGUACUUUCCUAAUAAGAGCAAAAGCCACAUUAUAACCAAGUAAACCCACUCCUUACAAGCACACAAGGAAGAAUGAAAUACUUUAAGAGACAUUUCCGGUUACUUACCUUGACUGUUUGAGAAAGACAGGAAAGGAGAUGUGAACAACAAAGCGUGCCUGCAUUACCUCACACCAACAACAGGAAAUGAACCAAACUGUUUUUAAAAAUUAAUUAAUAGAAGCAUAUUUCAGCGUCAGCAGAGUGAUCAAAGUUAAUCUUAUUUUUUAUUUGAUUAGAAGACAACAAUAAUAGUUUAAAAUAUAAAAAUAAUGACUGCAUGUGCAACGAAAGUACAUUUUAGAACGCAAUAAUAACGUUUUGUAAAUCAGUGAUUUUUUGUGCUGGGUGUCUCAACAUUUACUUAUAAUAAUAACUAAAGUAGUUCCAGAAUGUUCAACAUAUCUCUAAAAUUUGUGGAAAAUAAUGUCGAGUAGUGUGGUCUGCUACACUAAUAGGAUAUGGGUGCUUUAAAUGUUAGGUUAAAACUAAUUUAAUUAAAAAAAUAAUUAUCCUGCCUUCAGAAUAAUUAUUUUGGUACCUCCAUCGCCAUCCCACAGCCAGAAUGUCAUUCUAAAUACUUUAAGCAAAAAUAUUUUUGCAAAUGAAAUGGAAAAAAUAAUAAAUAAAACCACAUAAAACAUAGGAGAAUAGCUUACAAUCAACUUUUAUAACAACUUACAUAACUUAAAAUACAAUUUGUGUUUUAAAAUAUAAAAAAAAUACAGAAGGAUAACAGAUACCAAUACAUAAUAGAAUAACAUAGGAAAUCAUCACUUACAUUGUGUGUGUGUGUGUGUGUGUGUGUGUGUACUUGGUGUUCCUGUUUUUCAUAGAAGCCACUGUGUGUUUGUUAUAAUUUUUCUCGCAAAUGUGGCCUAUGCAAUCAUAUUUUGUGAGUCCUGUAAAAGUUCCUGUAAAGUUACCCUCAUUGUAGCCAUGAUACUUCUAUUCAUUUUUUAAAAAUAUUUAUUGAUUUAUUGAUUUAUUCACAUGAAUAGUUUGUUUAGGCUAUAUAAAAUUCAACAUAAUAGCCCGCCGAUUCAGAUACCGGUUCUGUCGUUUAACAUCUAUUAAUUAACAUGAUUGCACAUCAAAUAAUAAACAUAAGAACCUUAAAUUAAUUGCUUUUUUCUUUCCUAAAUCCAUUAUAUUUUCACACAGUCUUAACAUCCACUGUCACUUCAGGAGGGUGGUGCUCAUGACAGUCAUCUCACCCUCUGUGUAGUUCAUUUCUAAUUGGUGAUGCCACAGUUCACUCCCUCCCCAGGAGUUUGUAUGCUUUAGGUGUUAGCUGUUAUAUCAUUUACAAAAUACAUAAAAUUGUUGACAACAUCAUUUACAUUUUAAUUUAACCUUGAUGUAAAAUGUAUUGUGUUUUUUUUUAUGAUUCUUUGAUUCUUUUCGAUCUUUAAAGCAACUGUAUUUUAUCUGUUCUCUACUUUUUUCUCCGCCAACAUGUUUGUUUCCUCUUCCUUGAAACAAAAAUGUCAGUAGU